rnacentral:rRNA from 1 species
UGAGGAAUAUUGGUCAAUGGGGGCAACCCUGAACCAGCCAAGUCGCGUGAAGGAUGAAGGUCUUAUGGAUUGUAAACUUCUUUUAUACAGGAAUAAAUUGGGGGACGUGUCCCCUUUUGCAUGUACUGUAUGAAUAAGGAUCGGCUAACUCCGUGCCAGCAGCCGCGGUAAUACGUAGGGGGCAAGCGUUGUCCGGAUUUACUGGGUGUAAAGGGUGCUCAGGCGGAUUUGUAAGUCAGAGGUGAAAUCUUACAGCUUAACUGUGAUACUGACUGUGAUACUGCUAGCCUAGAGUAUGGAAGAGAGUGAUGGAAUAUCUGCUUGAGCAGUGAAAUGCGUAGAUAUCAGAUAGAACACCAAUGGCGAAGGCAGUCACUUAGUCCAUUACUGACGCUAAAGCACGAAAGCUUGGGUAGCAAACA